rnacentral:tRNA from 1 species
UUUAGUAUUCUCUAGGAGAGUCUGUGUUUCGGCCGCAGAAUUUGAGAUAGUUAUUUCUCUACUAAAU